rnacentral:rRNA from 1 species
CCAAUAGCGUAUAUUAAAGUUGUUGCAGUUAAAAAGCUCGUAGUUGAAUUUCGGGAUCAGUACGCUGGUCGUGCCUUUGGUAUGUACUGGUGUUACUGGUUCCUACCUUCUGACGAACCGUCAUGUCAUUAAUUUGGUGUGGCGGGGAAUCAGGACUGUUACUUUGAGAAAAUUAGAGUGUUUAAAGCAGGCUCGCGCUUGAAUACAUUAGCAUGGAAUAAUGAAAUAGGACGUUCGAUCCUAUUUUGUUGGUUUCUAGGAUUGACGUAAUGAUUAAUAGGGAUAGUUGGGGGCAUUAGUAUUAAAUUGUCAGAGGUGAAAUUCUUGGAUUUAUUGAAGACUAACUACUGCGAAAGCAUUUGCCAAGGAUGUUUUCAUUAAUCAAGAACGAAAGUUAGGGGAUCGAAGACGAUCAGAUACCGUCGUAGUCUUAACCAUAAACUAUGCCGACUAGGGAUCGGAUGAUGUUAAUUUUUUAAUGACUCAUUCGGCGCCUUACG